UUAAAAUCAGACAGCGCCGCACUUGGCUCCUGACAGUCGCCAUAGACUCCACUCCAGGAGCAGGAGCCCGCAGGCGGCGCUCAACGAGAGGGCCGGCUGCAUCGCGGGGAUAUUCGGCGUCCGAGGAGAAUAUGCCAGAGGAGCCGGCGGGGAGGCGCAGCAGCUGCGGUGGCAUGGCCGCGGCCGCGGGGCGAGAUUCGGCGGCGCCGGAGGAUAUGCCGGAGGAGCCGGCGGGGAGGCGCAGCAGCUGCGGCGGCGCUAGCCUUUAGCCAGCUUAUUAUCCCAGGUCCUUAGGGGAACUCCAACGCAAAGACCAAAAUUUUGUCUGUUUUUUUUCCGUUUGGGUCUUCAAACGCCCCAAACGGACAGACGGAAACGGACGGACAAGCGGACACGGCCUGUGAACCCGACGUGAAGGACCUAUUUGGGACGGACAUGCGGAUUCUUCAUCAUUCUUUCUCUAUCCCCGCCGCACUCUGUGAGCCACGAGAUGCGCGCUCCGGCUCUCAUGGCCGCCGCGGCGACGUGCUCCUGCUCCAAGUACAUACCGACGAGGAGGCCUGAGAUGUGCGGUCCUGCUCCAAGUACGCGCCGGCGAGGGGUCCCGAGAUGUGCUGCCCGUCCCCCUCGUCCGCGGCGCCGUACAACAGCGCGUCGAGCUCCAUGAGCCGCGCAAUGACGCUGGGUGCGCCUGCCGUGCCAGGGGACGCUGCGGGCGACGCCGUUCUCCAGCAACAGGCUCAAUAACCUCCAGGAUGCGGCCAGGCCCCCCUGUCCUUCAGGUCCAAUCGAGGAAGCUGGAGCAUCGGCCUCGACUCUGCGGGUAGGUACUGGCCAGCGGCGGAGGCCUUGAGGCCGGCUGGAGGAUGGCCGGGAGGCUGCGCUCCAGCACGAACUGCGCUUGCGCCAUGGAAGGAUCACCAUCCCGUGCGUGGCCAUGUGGUUCGAGUGCGUCACCAUGGCCGCGGCGGCUUCUUGUAUCUCUAUAGCUAGAUUUGCAUGCCUUAGAUUCUUGGUCCCGACACUGCACCUUUGUAAAACGAUAAUUUCUCAAGAACAAGCGGGAGUAAAUAAAAGUUGAGAGCAUUCUUCCUGCCCUUGUCAUCUUUUCUUGUACACCUUGGAUCCCGGGUCCCGAUAGUGCACCUUUGUAAAACGGUAAUUUCUCAAGAACAAGCGGGAGUAUAUAAAAGUUGAGAGCAUUCUUGGUGCCCUGAUCAUCUUUUCUUGUAUAUGUGGUGCUCUUUGCCUCAAUGGUCAUGCCAUUUAUAUUCAAGUUUUUGUCGUUGAUCUUUCGAUGUUAAACUGCUAAGAACAACUUUGUUAUGUUUAUUUGUUUAUCUGGUUCAUCGUUUAUUACCAAUUAUCUGCCUGUGAUAAAAUGUGAACUUAUUCUGUUUGUUCUAUCUCUAAAAGAGACUGAUAUAUAUCACUUCCUCUUAGCAAAGGUUGCAUAUAUAAAAAUGCAUAGGGGGAACAAAACUUCCUAGCUUGGCUUAUUAAAAAAACUUCCUAGCCAAGUACAAUUCCAAAUUCCGAAGUCAAUCAUUUGUAUGAAUCAUUUUGGCUGGGACAUAAUAUCCUUUGACCAUGAGAAUGCAGGAUUAUGCAGAGUUGUUUUUAUUAUUGCCGUUAAAACCUAUUCCUAUGUAGUGAUGUGUGAUGGCUUUAGGCGUAUUAUGCUAAUGUUUUUGUCCAGGGCUUGGCAUUUUUUUUGUGACAGAUUGUUGCUGCAAUUCCAGAUUGACCGUGUGGGAUCCAACGGUUGAGAAAAUGGAAAUAUAACUUCUGACUAAAGUUGGGGGGUGUAAUGUUUGGACAUUAUGUUGUGCAAAAUGAAAACCCUCUGCAUAAAAAGAGAUAGUCGAGGUGCAAUCUUGGAAACACAACAAAAUAUGCUACAGUUGAAGAAGGCAAGCACAUAAGGAGGGUACGGCGACAUGAAAUGGUGGAGGAACGGCUGAUCAGGAGACAUAUGACAACUUGUCUUCUGGCAGGGUGAAGAUGGAGGACGCAGUAGUUUCAAAAGAAAAGGGAAGAGCUGGCUUUUGCAAACUUCAACUAGUUCAUGUGCAUUGUAAACUUGGGUUGAUAAAAAGACACCCUUCUUUUUGGAGCUAGGAAGAAACCAAACCUUACGAGUACAACUUUUGUGCGUACAAAUGAAAGUUGAACAAAAUGUACUAAACAAAAUUUGAAAUGUAUGGUGGAAGGAAGAAUUACUCGGUUGACAAA